rnacentral:lncRNA from 1 species
CACAGACCUUAAUCCCUGAUAAUCUCUGCAUCCACUGACAGCCAGCAGUCAUGGCUGCUCCGAAAGAGAAUUUACUGUGUCUUGGACAUCUGACCGGCACUGAGAGAAACACUUUCACCAAGCAAAGAGAGCACAGUCUAAAACAGAGUGUUCACAGGCCAAUGCUGUUCCAAACAAACUUUUCAACUCCUCAGAGUCGCCAACAGCUGUAAGCACACAACAACAACAACAACAACAACAACAUCAACAAAAAUAAAACAAGCUUAUUGCACUGUGCAUCAUUGUGUCUGUUAGUGUUAAUAUUUUUAGUCUCCAACUCCAUGUGUGUGUUCCGUGCAGCAGAGUGAUGCACCUGCAGCAGCGCUGGCAGGAGCUGAAGGAGAGAGAGCGCACAGCUCAGCAACACAACCAGCAGCUUCUGCAGCAGUUUGACAGAGCCCAGGACACACUGAGGGAGAUGCUGGCCCGCAAUGCUGCCAUGAAAACGAUCCGGAUGGAGUAUGGCAGGUACCUGGAGGAGAGCGAUCCCGGCUGGCAUCAGCAAAUCAAAGAGAAAACACAGGCCGCACAGAGGAAGGUCUGGACAAUAAUCAAUAUACAGCUGUCUUGCAUUUUUUUAGCUCCUUUUAAAUCAUCAAGUUGUUCAAAUGUGAGACAUUGAGAUGGUUAUGAAACUGGAUCAGUAUGAAAAAAUAAACUUGUUCUUCUCAACAGCGGAUGGAGGUAUAUUUGAGGUCAUGUCUACAGAAUUUAGAAGAACUGAGCAAGUCCUCUCCAGAAAGACUUUUACUUUCACAGGGUUUGUUCUCUUCCUCACUCACUUUAAAAAAUGAUCUUGUCACAUUGAUUCUUCUCUGUCUUUUUGGGGAAAUCCUAUUUUUCAUUAUCUAGUU